ensembl:ncRNA Y56A3A.37 ncRNA
UGUGUGUGCUCGACCACACCCCAUAUAACUGUCAAAACCUGGUGAAAUAGUGUACGAGAGGGAGAGACGCAGACA